rnacentral:rRNA from 1 species
GGGACCAUCCUCCAAGGCUAAAUACUCCUGACUGACCGAUAGUGAACCAGUACCGUGAGGGAAAGGCGAAAAGAACCCCGGCGAGGGGAGUGAAAAAGAACCUGAAACCGUGUACGUACAAGCAGUGGGAGCACGCUUAGGCGUGUGACUGCGUACCUUUUGUAUAAUGGGUCAGCGACUUAUAUUCUGUAGCAAGGUUAACCGAAUAGGGGAGCCGAAGGGAAACCGAGUCUUAACUGGGCGUUAAGUUGCAGGGUAUAGACCCGAAACCCGGUGAUCUAGCCAUGGGCAGGUUGAAGGUUGGGUAACACUAACUGGAGGACCGAACCGACUAAUGUUGAAAAAUUAGCGGAUGACUUGUGGCUGGGGGUGAAAGGCCAAUCAAACCGGGAGAUAGCUGGUUCUCCCCGAAAGCUAUUUAGGUAGCGCCUCGUGAAUUCAUCUCCGGGGGUAGAGCACUGUUUCGGCAAGGGGGUCAUCCCGACUUACCAACCCGAUGCAAACUGCGAAUACCGGAGAAUGUUAUCACGGGAGACACACGGCGGGUGCUAACGUCCGUCGUGAAGAGGGAAACAACCCAGACCGCCAGCUAAGGUCCCAAAGUCAUGGUUAAGUGGGAAACGAUGUGGGAAGGCCCAGACAGCCAGGAUGUUGGCUUAGAAGCAGCCAUCAUUUAAAGAAAGCGUAAUAGCUCACUGGUCGAGUCGGCCUGCGCGGAAGAUGUAACGGGGCUAAACCAUGCACCGAAGCUGCGGCAGCGACGCUUAUGCGUUGUUGGGUAGGGGAGCGUUCUGUAAGCCUGUGAAGGUGUACUGUGAGGUAUGCUGGAGGUAUCAGAAGUGCGAAUGCUGACAUAAGUAACGAUAAAGCGGGUGAAAAGCCCGCUCGCCGGAAGACCAAGGGUUCCUGUCCAACGUUAAUCGGGGCAGGGUGAGUCGACCCCUAAGGCGAGGCCGAAAGGCGUAGUCGAUGGGAAACAGGUUAAUAUUCCUGUACUUGGUGUUACUGCGAAGGGGGGACGGAGAAGGCUAUGUUGGCCGGGCGACGGUUGUCCCGGUUUAAGCGUGUAGGCUGGUUUUCCAGGCAAAUCCGGAAAAUCAAGGCCGAGGCGUGAUGACGAGGCACUACGGUGCUGAAGCAACAAAUGCCCUGCUUCCAGGAAAAGCCUCUAAGCAUCAGGUAACAUCAAAUCGUACCCCAAACCGACACAGGUGGUCAGGUAGAGAAUACCAAGGCGCUUGAGAGAACUCGGGUGAAGGAACUAGGCAAAAUGGUGCCGUAACUUCGGGAGAAGGCACGCUGAUACGUAGGUGAAGCGACUUGCUCGUGGAGCUGAAAUCAGUCGAAGAUACCAGCUGGCUGCAACUGUUUAUUAAAAACACAGCACUGUGCAAACACGAAAGUGGACGUAUACGGUGUGACGCCUGCCCGGUGCCGGAAGGUUAAUUGAUGGGGUUAGCGCAAGCGAAGCUCUUGAUCGAAGCCCCGGUAAACGGCGGCCGUAACUAUAACGGUCCUAAGGUAGCGAAAUUCCUUGUCGGGUAAGUUCCGACCUGCACGAAUGGCGUAAUGAUGGCCAGGCUGUCUCCACCCGAGACUCAGUGAAAUUGAACUCGCUGUGAAGAUGCAGUGUACCCGCGGCAAGACGGAAAGACCCCGUGAACCUUUACUAUAGCUUGACACUGAACAUUGAGCCUUGAUGUGUAGGAUAGGUGGGAGGCUUUGAAGUGUGGACGCCAGUCUGCAUGGAGCCGACCUUGAAAUACCACCCUUUAAUGUUUGAUGUUCUAACGUGGACCCGUAAUCCGGGUUGCGGACAGUGUCUGGUGGGUAGUUUGACUGGGGCGGUCUCCUCCUAAAGAGUAACGGAGGAGCACGAAGGUUGGCUAAUCCUGGUCGGACAUCAGGAGGUUAGUGCAAUGGCAUAAGCCAGCUUGACUGCGAGCGUGACGGCGCGAGCAGGUGCGAAAGCAGGUCAUAGUGAUCCGGUGGUUCUGAAUGGAAGGGCCAUCGCUCAACGGAUAAAAGGUACUCCGGGGAUAACAGGCUGAUACCGCCCAAGAGUUCAUAUCGACGGCGGUGUUUGGCACCUCGAUGUCGGCUCAUCACAUCCUGGGGCUGAAGUAGGUCCCAAGGGUAUGGCUGUUCGCCAUUUAAAGUGGUACGCGAGCUGGGUUUAGAACGUCGUGAGACAGUUCGGUCCCUAUCUGCCGUGGGCGCUGGAGAACUGAGGGGGGCUGCUCCUAGUACGAGAGGACCGGAGUGGACGCAUCACUGGUGUUCGGGUUGUCAUGCCAAUGGCACUGCCCGGUAGCUAAAUGCGGAAGAGAUAAGUGCUGAAAGCAUCUAAGCACGAAACUUGCCCCGAGAUGA